rnacentral:rRNA from 1 species
UACGAAGGGUGCAAGCGUUGUUCGGAAUUACUGGGCGUAAAGCGUGCGUAGGCGGUUUGAUAAGUUGAGAGUGAAAUCCCGGGGCUUAACUCCGGAAUUGCUUUCAAAACUAUCAAUCUAGAAUAUGGUAGGGGACAGUGGAAUUCCUAGUGUAGAGGUGAAAUUCGUAGAUAUUAGGAGGAACACCAGUGGCGAAAGCGACUGUCUGGGCCAUUAUUGACGCUGAGGCACGAAAGCGUGGGGAGCAAACAGG